rnacentral:rRNA from 1 species
GACGAACGCUGGCGGCGUGCUUAACACAUGCAAGUCGAACGGAAAGGCCCUGCUCUUGUGGGGUGCUCGAGUGGCGAACGGGUGAGUAACACGUGAGUAACCUGCCCUUGACUUUGGGAUAACUUCAGGAAACUGGGGCUAAUACCGGAUAGGAUCUCCUGCUGCAUGGUGGGGGUUGGAAAGUUUCGGCGGUUGGGGAUGGACUCGCGGCUUAUCAGCUUGUUGGUGGGGUAGUGGCUUACCAAGGCUUUGACGGGUAGCCGGCCUGAGAGGGUGACCGGCCACAUUGGGACUGCGAUACGGCCCAGACUCCUACGGGAGGCAGCAGUGGGAAAUAUUGCGCAAUGGGCGGACGCCUGAUGCAGCAGCGCCGCGUGCGUGAUGACGGCCUUCGGGUUGUAAACCGCUUUCGCCUGUGACGAAGCGUGAGUGACGGUAAUGGGUAAAGAAGCACCGGCUAACUACGUG